rnacentral:rRNA from 1 species
CUACGUAGGUGGCAAGCGUUGUCCGGAAUUACUGGGUGUAAAGGGCGUGUAGGCGGGGAUGCAAGUCAGAUGUGAAAUUCCGGGGCUCAACCCCGGCACUGCAUCUGAAACUGUGUCUCUUGAGUGCUGGAGAGGAAAGCGGAAUUCCUAGUGUAGCGGUGAAAUGCGUAGAUAUUAGGAGGAACACCAGUGGCGAAGGCGGCUUUCUGGACAGUAACUGACGCUGAGGCGCGAAAGCGUGGGUAGCGAACAGGAUUAGAUACCCUGGUAGUCCACGCCGUAAACGAUGGAUACUAGGUGUAGGAGGUAUCGACCCCUUCUGUGCCGGAGUUAACACAAUAAGUAUUCCACCUGGGGAGUACGAUCGCAAGAUUGAAACUCAAAGGAAUUGGCGGGG